rnacentral:rRNA from 1 species
CAACGUUGGCGGCAGGCCUAACACAUGCAAGUCGAACGGAUCCUUCGGGAUUAGUGGCAGACGGGUGAGUAACGCGUGGGAAGCUACCUUGUGGUAGGGAACAACAGUUGGAAACGACUGCUAAUACCCUAUGAGCCCUAUGGGGGAAAGAUUUAUCGCCAUGAGAUGUGCCCGCGUUAGAUUAGCUAGUUGGUAAGGUAAUGGCUUACCAAGGCGACGAUCUAUAGCUGGUCUGAGAGGAUGAUCAGCCACACUGGGACUGAGACACGGCCCAGACUCCUACGGGAGGCAGCAGUGGGGAAUAUUGGACAAUGGGGGCAACCCUGAUCCAGCCAUGCCGCGUGAGUGAUGACGGCCUUAGGGUUGUAAAGCUCUUUCAGCAGUGAAGAUAAUGACAUUAACUGCAGAAGAAGCCCCGGCUAACUUCGUGCCAGCAGCCGCGGUAAUACGAAGGGGGCUAGCGUUGUUCGGAAUCACUGGGCGUAAAGCGUACGUAGGCGGACUGAUCAGUCAGGGGUGAAAUCCCGGGGCUCAACCCCGGAACUGCCUUUGAUACUGUCAGUCUUGAGAUCGAGAGAGGUGAGUGGAACUCCGAGUGUAGAGGUGAAAUUCGUAGAUAUUCGGAAGAACACCAGUGGCGAAGGCGGCUCACUGGCUCGAUACUGACGCUGAGGUACGAAAGCGUGGGGAGCAAACAGGAUUAGAUACCCUGUAGUCCACGCCGUAAACGAUGAAUGCUAGUUGUCAGGUAGCUUGCUAUUUGGUGAC